rnacentral:rRNA from 1 species
UGGGGAAUUUUGGACAAUGGGCGAAAGCCUGAUCCAGCCAUGCCGCGUGAGUGAAGAAGGCCUUCGGGUUGUAAAGCUCUUUCAGACGGAAAGAAUACUUCUGGGCUAAUACCCUGGGAGGAUGACGGUACCGUAAGAAGAAGCACCGGCUAACUACGUGCCAGCAGCCGCGGUAAUACGUAGGGUGCGAGCGUUAAUCGGAAUUACUGGGCGUAAAGCGUGCGCAGGCGGUUAUGUAAGACAGAUGUGAAAUCCCCGGGCUCAACCUGGGAACUGCGUUUGUGACUGCAUAACUAGAGUACGGCAGAGGGAGGUGGAAUUCCGCGUGUAGCAGUGAAAUGCGUAGAUAUGCGGAGGAACACCGAUGGCGAAGGCAAUCCCCUGGACCUGUACUGACGCUCAUGCACGAAAGCGUGGGGAGCAAACA